UUUUUUUUUUUUUCAGUUGAAAGUUGAAGGCCUAAUCUUUCACUCACGCUGUUAUGUUUUGUGAUUAUGAUGACUCUUUGGAAAUGCCUGUGAAUCUAAAUUCACCACAGCUAUGUUUAUGGCUUUAUUGCUACUGUCUGUGGCAUCUGUAAAUGGUCACAAAAGCAUUCUGAAGAACACGUGGAAAGAAUAAAUGAGGAUUAAUUUCUUACUUCGGAACCAGUGUGGAAUGCCACUGUUUUCUCAGUCUUGCUGUGUUGCCUUCAUAAACCCCAUUAAGAAAUUUUGGCUCAUCACCCUGGGCUCUGUUCCUCAUGGAUUUCUCACAGAAUUCUUCCUGGCUGAUUUGCAUUUUGAUGAUGUACCUCUGCUGUGCAUUAAGUGAUGUACCAAUACAUACUAUUAGAGUGCAUCUUUCAGGAAUGAUGGUCCACCAGAGCUAUAUAAAAUGACUGAAUGUUUGUUAGCUGAAUAAAGCCAGAUGGCAUCAACUCA
rnacentral:lncRNA from 1 species